AGGUUUGACCUCGGAUCAGGUAGGGGUACCCGCUGAAC
rnacentral:rRNA from 1 species